CCUACGGGAGGCAGCAGUGGGGAAUUUUGGACAAUGGGCGCAAGCCUGAUCCAGCAAUGCCGCGUGCAGGAAGAAGGCCUUCGGGUUGUAAACUGCUUUUGUCAGGGAAGAAAUCUUCUGGGCUAAUACCCCGGGAGGAUGACGGUACCUGAAGAAUAAGCACCGGCUAACUACGCGCCAGCAGCCGCGGUAAU
rnacentral:rRNA from 1 species